rnacentral:rRNA from 1 species
GAUGAACGCUGGCGGCGUGCCUAAUACAUGCAAGUCGAGCGAAAGGACGAGGAGCUUGCUUUGCUGAUGUUAGCGGCGGACGGGUGAGUAACACGUGGAUAACCUACCUGUAAGACUGGGAUAACUUCGGGAAAGCGGAGCUAAUACGGGAGAAUAUUUUGAACCGCAGGGUGCAAAGGUGAAAGACGGUCGUGGUGUCACGUAUAGAUGGAUCCGCGCUGCAUUAGGUAGUUGGUAAGGUAACGGCUUACCAAGGCAACGAUGCAUAACCGACCUGAGAGGGUGAUCGGCCACACUGGAACUGAGACACGGUCCAGACUCCUACGGGAGGCAGCAGUAGGGAAUCUUCCGCAAUGGGCGAAAGCCUGACGGAGCGACGCCGCGUGAGUGAUGAAGGUCUUCGGAUCGUAAAACUCUGUUAUUAGGGAAGAACAUAUGUGUAAGGAACUGUGCACAUCUUGACGGUACCUAAUCAGAAAGCCACGGCUAACUACGUG